GGGCAGAUGGCAGAGUGGUUAAAUGCAGCGGACUGUAAAUCCGCCGCCUCACGGCUACGUAGGUUCGAAUCCUACUCUGCCCA
rnacentral:tRNA from 1 species